rnacentral:rRNA from 1 species
AACGAACGCUGGCGGCAGGCUUAACACAUGCAAGUCGAGCGAGACCUUCGGGUCUAGCGGCGGACGGGUGAGUAACGCGUGGGAACGUGCCCUUCUCUACGGAAUAGCCCCGGGAAACUGGGAGUAAUACCGUAUACGCCCUUUGGGGGAAAGAUUUAUCGGAGAAGGAUCGGCCCGCGUUGGAUUAGGUAGUUGGUGGGGAAUGGCCCACCAAGCCGACGGUCCAUAGCUGGUUUGAGAGGAUGAUCAGCCACACUGGGACUGAGACACGGCCCAGACUCCUACGGGAGGCAGCAGUGGGGAAUCUUAGACAAUGGGGGCAACCCUGAUCUAGCCAUGCCGCGUGAGUGAUGAAGGCCUUAGGGUUGUAAAGCUCUUUCAGCUGGGAAGAUAAUGACGGUACCAGCAGAAGAAGCCCCGGCUAACUCCGUG